UAGAGACAGAAAGUAAGAAAUGAAGAAAUUAAAGAACCCUAAUCUUGGUUGAGCUGCACAUAUAUAUAGAUAGAUUACUAGGUGGAGGACAGCACUUUGCCAAAAAUGGGAGGUUAUGAGGUUUCAGAUUUCAGACAUUUGACUCAUUCAUCAGAAUUCAGGAAAGAGAGAGCAUGUCUUUGCAGUAGACGAUGAGAACACACAAUAAACUAAUGCAAUAUUGAAACACACUGAGAGGCUGACAGAAGAGAGUGAGCACAUGCUGGUGAUGAUUGUAUGAGGGCAUACAAUUGCGGGUGCGUGCUCACUUCUCUAUCUGUCAGCUUCUCCUUUUCUCUUUCGGUGUGUUUCCUCUCAUAACUUACUUCAUAAUGUUUUUCUUUUGUCUGACUCAUUCUUCACCACUUAGCUAUCUAUGAACUUCUCUUUUAAAUCUUGUUCUUCGUUUUAAAAUUUCACUUACUUAACUUUGCUUUAUGGUACAAACUUGUCUCAUUUUCACUCUCAGUCUCGUUUCUCCAAGUCAAUGGAUGAAAUAUAAUUAAGAACUUGUAUUACAAUUUGUGUGUGUUAAUCGUGCUUGUUUGACAAAUAAUGGAAACAAUAAAUAUACAACAAUAUAGUAGGUUGAUGUUGGUUCAAUUUUCGAGUUCUGAUUUUGGUGGUAAGCGAAGUGUGCACAAACUUAUCUAUUUAUAUAUUAUUAUAAUUCCCCCAUUAUCUUUUUGCUGUUUCGAGUGCCAUAAUCUGAUCCAUAUCUACUCGUGUUUUAUCCUAUUUCUUUUCCGUUUAUUAAUUCUUAUACUCAAAGCGUGACUUUUUAUGGUACUUUCCUUGAUGGUGAUGAACACGAAAUCCAAAUGGAGGUCUUCGAGGUACGCGUUGCUACGGUCUUUGUUACUAUUCAUAUUUUAACGGAAAACUCUUUUCGGAAGAAGUUCCACCACAAAACCCUUGUUUUUCUCCUUUUUGCCUUAUCUUCUUCUCUCCUUGUCGAGUGUCGACCGUGGAGAUGUUUCAUCUCCCUCAAUUUUGGUCCACAAUUUGUGCUCGAUGCACUAAGGUUCAGAGAAGCCAGCAUCUCAAAGGGCAAAUUGUGGGUUUUAUUUUUAUUUUUUAAGUGUUGAAUUUGAAGGGUCAGAAUGAGGUGCUGGAUCUGUCUCCUUGAAUGCCGUUUUGUUUGUAGCCUCAAUUUGAGGUAAAGGAAAGCAUUGGGAGCGUGCAUUAGGAAGCUAUAUCUGUGCUUCCAUCAGCACAGAAGUUGGUCGAUGUUACCAUGAACUGCACACUGAAGAACAUGAAGCCCAAUAAUCACCCAGGAACUUAUUUUGUAAUUUUAGGGAUUAAUAUGACAAGAUCUUCCAAAUUUAAGGACCAAAGGUGUUUUCCAAUUCUAAAAUUGUAGAAGAAUAUCCAGAAGCUGGUGUGGUUGGAGACAUACACAUAAUUUUGAUAACAGCGAGACAGGAUGAUGAAGUCAUGGAACUGCUAUCAGAGUUACAUAGUUUUGUAUACAUGGGGUUGAAAGUGUUUGUGAAAGGAAAAAAAAAACAGGCUGGUCAAGCUAGUGAUGUUAUAUUUGACAUUGUGAGACUAAGGGGUAAAAAUAAGUGUGGAAAACAAUAUUUCACAUGAUUGAUCUUUAUUGGGAGUGGAGGUGGUAGUAACUCAGUUGAAAAGGUGCAACUAGCUAGAGUUGAAAACUGAACCAAGCCUAGAUACUGCUAGAUGUUUUUAUUCUUCAAAAUGUUCCCUUAAUAGUCUUUUUCUUCUAACAUAACAUAAUAUGAAGAUUCUGUCAUUAAGAUCGAUUAAUCUGUUAAUUAGUUUUAUUUAUUUUUGUUCGCAAGGUGA